rnacentral:lncRNA from 1 species
UUAGCUCCACUACCACUUGAAAAAAACACUCACUAAAACUACUACUAAUCUCCCACAAAAACUGCAUUCUUCAAACUUCAAAUUUGAAAACUAGCACCUGGGUUUCUCCGGGAACUGUUCAAAUUUGAAAACUGGCACCUGGGCUUCUUCUGGGAAUUGUUCAAAUUUGAAACUGGCACCUGGGCUUCUUCUGGGAAUUGUUCAAAUUUGAAACUGGCACUUGGGUUUUUCUGGAUUUUUUUUUCCUGGGAUUUCAAAGAUAGCACAUUUUUUUGUGUUCCUGCCCUGCCCAUUUGUGAGCUGAAAGAUCCAUUUUUGAAGUUUCG